GAGAUCUUGGUGAACUGACAAACGUCUGGAGACCUCCGAUACUUAAGGCCUGGAAAAGCAGAAGCGGUACCUCCGUUUCUUCCACUUGUCUUCCCGACCGACCGACCAGGGCGCUGCUCUGACGCGACCAGCAGCUUCACACAUGUGGAUCACAUGAAGCGGAGGACGUUCAAUCAGGAGUUCAGUUUUACCUUGUGAUGCAGAGAAGAGCAUCACCAGAGCCAGGGUGAGCACACAGGUCCAACGGCAGACAGAGAGACUGGUCCACAUCUUCAAAUCUUCAAAUCUGGAUCUCCGCUUUAAUCUGCUUUGUUAUUCAGUUCAACUCUCCAGAGCCUAAUGAUGAAUGAACCAGAGAGUCGGGAUCUUAUACCCUCCAGUUCCACGCAAAAAGAGGAACAAUUGCUGUCAUGCACAUGUUCCUGUAAUGGAAAUAAUCAUCAUGCUGCAGUGAUGACAAGACGGGACAGAAACUCACGCUCAAAGACGCUGGUAGAGUGUGUCUGUCGUGUCCAUAUUUGUUCAGGUUGUGUGGCGUUGUAGUGGCACUCAUCAUCUCACUGCUUCCUGACAUUCACCUGAACUGCACAUGAUUAUAAACACAAGGACACAACAGUUCAGCCUCCCAGUUCAACCUGUUCCUGAGAUAUCUACAACGCUCGGUGUCUCAGGUGAGAGCACCCCCCCCCCCACAUACUGUUUAAUAAGGUUUAUAACACCACAUACUGUUUAAUAAGGUUUAUAACACCACAUACUGUUUAAUAAGGUUUAUAACACCACAUACUGUUUACUUUAUGAAGCCUAUAAAGUGCAAGACAUGACCUUGGUUUAUAUAGUAGCUUUCUACUUUUGAACCUAGCUGAUAGGAGUUAAGAAGUUAAAUAAAGAUAAAUAAAUGUGAAGCUUUUUGAGUAAUCCAAACGUAAUCCAUUACAAAUCAGCCGGGUUUGACUUCUGUGUGCUUCCUCAUGUCGCAGUCGCUGCAGGGUGUAACUUAACAUUCGCAAAACACACCAUCCUGACAGGAAACAAGUCACUUUCUAAUGUAUUUAUCUUUUUAAAGAAUGUGUCGAAAGGGGCAUGAUGAUGAAACAAAGAUGAGAUUUGUUACUGAAAUAAGAAAAGGUUCUUCUGCCACAUAGUAAAUAACGUGUGCUUUGUUUGUCCCCGGUGCAUAAGCGACAUAAUACCACAUUUACUACUGUCGAACGUUUUGCUGCUGAGUCAUGCAGGAUGUAGAGUGCCAUCUAUUAAGACAUAUUCACUAAAGGCCAUGAGGUCAUACAAUUAAUUACGUGGAGUAUUUCAGUGGGCGGGACAUUUAUUACAACUCAACUUUACUUGGUAUUUUAUGUGAGCAAGAAAAGGGGAAACCCAAACUCAUGAGCCUGUUCAGAGAUGCACUCUCAAACCAACUAUAUUUAAACUUCCAUUGUUACCGUAAUAACUUAAAGACAGUCAUAGCGGCGUGAGACGCUUCUGAGAGGAGGAAUUACUCACAUGCAUGCAAUGCAGCUGCAGCCCAAAUGUUUAAAGUACAUUUCUGUGCCUUUGAAUUAUUUUACAGCGUGUGACCAAAUAGUUUCCAUUCAAAGGUCCACUUACAGUCAUAGUUUCCUGAGCUUUUAACAGCUUCUCACCGUCUUUAUUAGCUGACAGUGGAUUUAUAAUACGUGUUUCUAUGAUGAUCACAAUUGUUAUUAUAUCAAAUAUAAUAUAUGUGUUUUAUUUGUACUGUAAUAUAUUUUAACUGUAGAAAAGUGUUGGUUUUAU